rfam:Bacillus pseudofirmus OF4, complete genome.
CAAAGCAAGCAGAAGCGCCCGCUUCUCACCUGAUUGACGCAUGAAGCUGUUGCCAGGUAUGAUGGGAUUCAUUUUUAGUAAAUGACCGAAGUGUGGGCGUAUUGUGCGCCCGCACUUUUUUUCAUGA